rnacentral:lncRNA from 1 species
CCCUCUAGAGCUCCGCUCUGCGAAAUGGUUGGACUAGGAGGUAGUCUUCUUCCAGUCUGGGAAAGUAAAGUGGUGGAGAGGGUAGCCAGGGAAGUGCCAAGAGAGCAUCUAAGAGCCAAGAGGAGAGGUGAUGCCCCACUCUCCAGGGAGAGCUCCUUGGGCUGGCAGACCAGCCCUUUGUCAGAGCACCGAAGAGGCAACGGGACCCGGCAUGAGGCGUGGGGAGUAGAGCGACAGACGGAGAGAGGCGUGAGGACACAAAGGAGAAAGCACACCAUUGCCAAGACCCCAAGGAAGGAGGAUGGAGAGGCUGGCAGUCCUGCCUGGCCCCCAGCCAGUUUCCUGCUAAAGAUGGCCAAAUCCUCUUGCCUGGUCUGUAUAUGUGACUGUGCGGGCGUGGCGGGGGAGGGCCGGGCUUGCUUGCGGAGCUGGGAUCUGGAAUGGGAAGGGCCCCUUUCUGUGGAUCCCCUUUGGACUCUCCACUCUAACAAGUGAGGUGUCUGGUGUUCUCCCUGGUGCCCUCUCCUCCUCCCCCUCCCCCCCAGCCCUCUUUCAUCGCUAUCGCCACCUGGGUCCUACCGCUUGGCACCCAACCAACUAGAUGCCGCCACGCUUGGCAGCGCUGCACUGGCACGUGAACGAUGUCUCAGAUCCUGGCACUGCGGCAAACCCAAAGCCGCCAGACGUGCUCACGACUGCCACUUGGUGGCGGUGAGAGGGGGUUGGCGCACACAGGUGUGUUGGGCACCGGGCGGAGCCCUCCUGGGGAGUGGCAUGAGGACACCUUCAACAAUGGGGCUACAUGCCAACCCCAACCCACCUUCCUCCCAACCAGACACCACCCUCCUAUCCCCGCCGUUCCCAAGAAAGGGAUUUAGAUGGUGACACUGAGUAUUUGGGCAGAAUUCCAAGGGAAGCUGGAGCCCAGGGAGACAAGGACACAUUCGAAAGUCACACCCAACACUCCAGGCCAAUGCCCUCUCUGGGCAGCAAAGCCAGAAAAAAAAAAUCCUAGGAGGGUGAAAUGAGAUGCUGGAGAGAGGCCAACCGGCUGUGUCAUCACAAAGAUGGUGCUGGAAGAGACUGGAAGGGAAGGAGCAGGGGAGCCCCUCAGGCCUUGCUGUGGGGUGGUUGGUGCCUGUGUGUAUUUCAUUCUGCCCUGUGCCUUGUGAUUGGCUGAGCUAUGGGUUGAGUCAAACUGGUUCUUUCUCCCUUGUUAAAAGGCCCAUAUUCAAUAACAGUCCUAGAAAGAGAGAGGUGCUCUAGGCCUUGAGCUACAGGCAGGUGUUGGGAAGACAAAGGUGCCUUGGACUUGCCCUUCCAGAAAGACCAUCCAAGGAGAACUGGGGUUUAGGAAUUUCUCCAUGGCUCAUGGAGGGGACAGAUUUCCCUCUUUGAAAUCCACCCCAGGAAGAGAGACCACGGAUCAGCAAUGUGUCCUCCCUGUUAGAAAGGUAGGCCCCCAGGAGCAGAACGCCUGCAGCUGGUAACACAGACUGGCCCUACAUCUCUAGACGCAGUGCCGUUGGCAGUCUUGCCUAGACUGGACCUCAGGCCUCCUUGUGGAGGAACUUCUAGCAGGUUGGGCUCUCAUUGCUUCCUGGGUAGCCAGAGGCUGUGGGUCAGGGACUAGGAAGGUCUUUGGGUGGAAGAAUUGGUGGCUCUGGGUGAUGCUGGGAAAGGCUGGGUGGCUCUGAUGGGAGUAGGACUUGCCCAGAGGGGAGUGAAGCUAUUGCCCGGGCUGGAGGAGUUCUGAUUUCAGCAUCCCUCGAAGUGGAGGCAGCUUCAGAAGAAGCAAAGUGGUUUCCACAGCAGAGGAGAAAACAGGGUGGCCUUCAGGCAAAGGGGUGAGUGAGCAAUGCUUGUAACUUUUCUCGUUUGUGAGUAGCCACCAGAAGCAGAAGACACAGUCAGAUUUCCAAAUGUCAG